rnacentral:rRNA from 1 species
GAUGAACGCUGGCGGCGUGCCUAAUACAUGCAAGUCGAGCGAACAGAUGAGGAGCUUGCUCCUCUGACGUUAGCGGCGGACGGGUGAGUAACACGUGGAUAACCUACCUAUAAGACUGGGAUAACUUCGGGAAACCGGAGCUAAUACCGGAUAAUAUAUUGAACCGCAUGGUUCAAUAGUGAAAGACGGUUUUGCUGUCACUUAUAGAUGGAUCCGCGCCGCAUUAGCUAGUUGGUAAGGUAAUGGCUUACCAAGGCAACGAUGCGUAGCCGACCUGAGAGGGUGAUCGGCCACACUGGAACUGAGACACGGUCCAGACUCCUACGGGAGGCAGCAGUAGGGAAUCUUCCGCAAUGGGCGAAAGCCUGACGGAGCAACGCCGCGUGAGUGAUGAAGGGCUUCGGAUCGUAAAACUCUGUUAUUAGGGAAGAACAAAUGUGUAAGUAACUAUGCACGUCUUGACGGUACCUAAUCAGAAAGCCACGGCUAACUACGU